rnacentral:tRNA from 1 species
GCCCUAGUAGCUUAAUUUAAAGCAUCGGUCUCGUAAUCCGAAGAUUGGAAGUUAAAUUCCCCCCUAGAGCC